rnacentral:rRNA from 1 species
UUUAAAGGGAGCGUAGGCCGGAGAUUAAGCGUGUUGUGAAAUGUAGUGGCUCAACCUCUGCACUGCAGCGCGAACUGGUCUUCUUGAGUACGCACAACGUGGGCGGAAUUCGUGGUGUAGCGGUGAAAUGCUUAGAUAUCACGAAGAACUCCGAUUGCGAAGGCAGCUCACGGGAGCGCAACUGACGCUGAAGCUCGAAAGUGCGGGUAUCGAACAGGAUUAGAUACCCUGGUAGUCCGCACGGUAAACGAUGGAUGCCCGCUGUUGGCCUGAAUAGGUCAGCGGCCAAGCGAAAGCAUUAAGCAUCCCACCUGGGGAGUACGCCGGCAACGGUGAAACUCAAAGGAAUUGACGGGGGCCCGCACAAGCGGAGGAACAUGUGGUUUAAUUCGAUGAUACGCGAGGAACCUUACCCGGGCUUGAAUUGCAGAGGAAGGAUUUGGAGACAAUGACGCCCUUCGGGGUCUCUGUGAAGGUGCUGCAUGGUUGUCGUCAGCUCGUGCCGUGAGGUGUCGGCUUAAGUGCCAUAACGAGCGCAACCCCUCUCCUCAGUUGCCAUCAGGUUAAGCUGGGCACUCUGGGGACACUGCCACCGUAAGGUGUGAGGAAGGUGGGGAUGACGUCAAAUCAGCACGGCCCUUACGUCCGGGGCUACACACGUGUUACAAUGGCAGGUACAGAGAGAGGGUCGUUCGCAAGUACGAUCAAAUCCUUAAAGCCUGUCUCAGUUCGGACUGGGGUCUGCAACCCGACCCCACGAAGCUGGAUUCGCUAGUAAUCGCGCAUCAGCCAUGGCGCGGUGAAUACGUUCCCGGGCCUUGUACACACCGCCCGU